rnacentral:lncRNA from 1 species
UCGGAAGAACUUCCAAUCGUAGUCUGUUGCUUCGACCCGAUAGAAGCAACCAUCCCAUUUAUGGCUCCUUUUACUAAGGAUCAUAAAAAGAAAGCUCGUGCCAUUGCUACUGAGGUAGGAGCUUCUGGUAGGAGGGUUGGUGCCCGUACUAUACCAACCUCCAAUAUACCACUUUCGACACAUGAGGUGCCCUCAUCACUACCAUCAAAUGGGGGGGUGAACCUAACUCCUGCACUACAAGAGAGGUUGAUUAACUUUAUAGAUUCUAUGGAAAAAAGAGUUAGCAACCUCGAGAAAGCAAGGGACAAGAAGGCCAUCACCCGCGAAAGAGCGGGUGAAUCUGGGUCUUACUAUCCUCCGUCUACGGAG